AUUGAACGCUGGCGGCAGGCCUAACACAUGCAAGUCGAACGAGUGGCGGACGGGUGAGUAAUGUCUGGGAAACUGCCCGAUGGAGGGGGAUAACUACUGGAAACGGUAGCUAAUACCGCAUACCAUCGGAUGUGCCCAGAUGGGAUUAGCUAGUAGGUGGGGUAACGGCUCACCUAGGCGACGAUCCCUAGCUGGUCUGAGCGGAUGACCAGCCCCACUGUAACUGAGACAUGGUCCAGACUCCUACGGGAGGCAGCAGUGGGGAAUAUUGCACAAUGGGAGUAAGCCUGAUGCAGACAUGCCGCGUGGAUGAAGAAGGCAUUCGGGUUUUAAAGUACUGUCAGCGAGGAGGCGUUACUCGCAGAAGAAGCACCGGCUAACUCCGUGCCAGCAGCCGCGGUAAUUC
rnacentral:rRNA from 1 species